rnacentral:rRNA from 1 species
GNAGAAGCCCGGAGAUGGGUANUGAGACAAGGACCCAGGCCCUAUGGGCGCAGCAGGCGAGAAAACUUUGCAAUGUGCGAAAGCACGACAAGGUUAAUCCGAGUGAUUUCUGCUAAAGAGAUCUUUUGUUAGUCAUAAAACCACUGAUGAAUAAGGGGUGGGCAAGUUCUGGUGUCAGCCGCCGCGGUAAAACCAGCACCUCAAGUGGUCAGGAGGNNUAUUGGGCCUAAAGCAUCCGUAGCCGGCUCUGUUAGUUUUCGGUUAAAUCCAUGUGCUUAACACAUGGGCUGCCGAAAAUACUGCAAGGCUAGGGAGUGGGAGAGGUAGACGGUACUCGGUAGGAAGGGGUAAAAUCCUUUGAUCUAUCGAUGACCACCUGUGGCGAAGGCGGUCUACCAGAACACGUUCGACGGUGAGGGAUGAAAGCUGGGGGAGCAAACCGGAUUAGAUACCCGGGUAGUCCCAGCUGUAAACGAUGCAGACUCGAUGAUGCAUUGGCAUAUAGCCAGUGCAGUGUCGCAGGGAAGCCGUUAAGUCUGCCGCCUGGGAAGUACGUACGCAAGUAUGAAACUUAAAGGAAUUGGCGGGGGAGCACCACAAGGGGUGAAGCCUGCGGUUCAAUUGGAGUCAACGCCAGAAAUCUUACCCGGAGAGACAGCAGAAUGAAGGUCAAGCUGAAGACUUUACCAGACAAGCUGAGAGGUGGUGCAUGGCCGUCGCCAGCUCGUGCCGUGAGAUGUCCUGUUAAGUCAGGUAACGAGCGAGAUCCCUGCCACUAGUUGCCAUCAUUAUUCUCAGGAAUAGUGGGGCGAAUUAGUGGGACUGCCGUUGUUAAAACGGAGGAAGGAAGGGGCUACGGCAGGUCAGUAUGCCCCGAAACUCUGGGGCCACACGCGGGCUGCAAUGGUAGUGACAAUGAGUUCCAAACUCGAAAGAGAGUGGCAAUCUCUAAACGCUACCACAGUUAUGACUGAGGGCUGCAACUCGCCCUCACGAAUAUGGAAUCCCUAGUAACCGCGUGUCAUUACCGCGCGGUGAAUACGUCCCUGCUCCUUGCACACACCGCCCGUCGUUUCAUCGAAGUUUGCUUUUAGCGAGGUGAUGUUUAAUUGGCAUUAUCGA